rnacentral:lncRNA from 1 species
GCCUUUCUCCCCAUGGAGGAACCGCGCAACCUCCCUGGGCUCCCCCGCUGCCCGGUGCCGGAGUCGCUGUCCCCUCCUCGCCUCCCUCUAGUGAUUGCAAGGAUGGUGAAGACUCCAUCAGCCUGGGUCUUAGACUGAGGACAACGUGGAGUGGAGACCUCUGCUGACUUUUGAUGGAGAUGUACUAUCAUUAAAAGUCUUCAGCGAUUGCUCAUCUCCUGCCUUCCCAGCAAUAUUCAAGUGGACAUUGGCAGGAGAUAACCAGCCUGUCUGGACAAAGUGGUGCCCCUGGCAUCCUUACC